CCUACGGGUGGCAGCAGUGGGGAAUAUUGCACAAUGGGCGCAAGCCUGAUGCAGCCAUGCCGCGUGUGUGAAGAAGGCCUUCGGGUUGUAAAGCACUUUCAGCGGGGAGGAAGGCGUUAAGGUUAAUAACCUUGGCGAUUGACGUUACCCGCAGAAGAAGCACCGGCUAACUCCGUGCCAGCAGCCGCGGUAAUACGGAGGGUGCAAGCGUUAAUCGGAAUUACUGGGCGUAAAGCGCACGCAGGCGGUCUGUCAAGUCGGAUGUGAAAUCCCCGGGCUCAACCUGGGAACUGCAUUCGAAACUGGCAGGCUAGAGUCUUGUAGAGGGGGGUAGAAUUCCAGGUGUAGCAGUGAAAUGCGUAGAGACCUGGAGGAAUACCGGUGGCGAAGGCGGCCCCCUGGACAAAGACUGACGCUCAGGUGCGAAAGCGUGGGGAGCAAACAGGAUUAGAUACCCGAGUAGUC
rnacentral:rRNA from 1 species